AACGAACGCUGGCGGCAUGCCUAACACAUGCAAGUCGAACGAGAGCUUCGGGUCUAGUGGCGCCCGGGUGCGUAACGCGUGGGAACCUGCCCUUAGGUUUGGCCUACCUCUCCGACUGGGGUGCUAAUACUGGAUCAUGUCUUCGGACCAAAGAUUUAUCGCAUUUGGAUGGGCACGCGUUGGAUUAGCUAGUUGGUAGGGUAAAAGCCUACCACGGCGUCGAUCCAUAGCUGGUCAGAGAGGCUGCUCCGCCACACUGGGACUGAGACACAGCCCAGACUCCUACGCAAGGCAGCAGAGGAUAAUAUUGGACAAUGGGCGAAAGCCUGAUCCAGCAAGGCCGCGUGAGUGAUGAAGGCCUUAGGGAUGUAAAGCUCUUUUACCCGUGAUGAUAAUGACGGUACCGGGAGAAUAAGCACCGGCUAACUCCGUG
rnacentral:rRNA from 1 species